rnacentral:lncRNA from 1 species
AGGGAGAGUGGUUUUAGGGGUAGACAUUUAAAAACAUCUCUCCUCAGCACUGAGCACAGCCCUGAACCCCACAGAUCAGCACCCGCCCCAGCACCCCAGCAGGGAAGCCCUAAAUAAUGGCUGCACCUUGUGAGCACUAAAACCUCUUUGGAACUUUCCAGAAUCUCCCCUAUCCACUUUCUGCCCCUAAAAGAUGGGUAAUACUUAGCAGUGUUGUGAGGUAAGCUGUGAAUGUGGAGGGCCUGGCUCCUCCUGCCUUGUCCUUCUUCCAGUGUCAGACUUCCAGCACACCUCAGGCCGGGGUCACAGCAUGGGCGCGGGUGCCCCAGAGUUGACCUGGGCCUGGAGCAGUUCACCCUGAUUUAACUUCCCAUUGCCCACUUUUAUGACUCAUCCUUGUGUCCAGGCCUUCAGGAUGGGUCAGCCAACUUAGCCCUGAAGCUUAGCUUAGCCCAGAAGCUGGGGCGUUAUAAACCUCUGUCCACUAUAAAUGCCUAGAACUCUCUUUUGGAGAAGCCCAAGUACUAGGUAAGAGAGGCUGCCUCUAAAGGUGGAAGGAAAGCACACCACCUAACACCUUGUGUUGCUUGACCUUCAAUUUGUUUUAGCAUAUUCACAUAUUACCUGUUUUAAUAUCCAUUGGAAAUAAAAGUUAAUUCAUUUUUCAGUCAUGCUGCUGAAUGCUCAGAAGGCAACCCACAUGUUUCUUUAGCUCUGUCCUUUGCAGUUAGCUUGUGGCUUCUUCCCCUUAGCUUUAUUCUUGGCCUGGUCCUCCCAAAACUGGUCAAUAAGCACCAAAGAAGGAGGCUGAAGGUGAGAAACUGGCCUUCAAGAGCCUUUUCCAGUAAAGCAAAUUGAUAUUUUCCAAGGUGGCUAUGAUUUCUUUUUCUCUUGAACUUCUGGUUUUAUGGGCUUUGGUGGACCUGAUGUUAUGGUCUGUCUGUGGGCCAUGAAUUCCUCAAAGUGGUGACCUCCUGGGCUGUUAACUCUUGCAGAACUAGGGCCAUGUUUUCUGCCCUGUUUCCACAUACUACCUGCAUCACUGUCUAUGGAGAGGCAUGCUUAAUAAAUGUUUGAGGACUAAAGCGCCUAAAGAGCACCCUGUGAAACAUAUUUCUGGUUGUGGAUAGCAGUGCACAGAAUGCAACUGCCUGUUUCUAAUGGAAAGGUAAUUUUGCACCUACUGAAGAAUUUUGCACUAACCAGAAUCUAAAAAUGUGGGUCAAGAGGACAUGAAUAAUUUUUUCUCCAUGGGAGUCUUGACUAUGUAAAAACUUUAGAGAAGUCCUACAUGGUGAAUACUUGAACUAUAUUUUUUGAAUAAAUCUUUUUUUUUUAAAGAAGGUCAUAUGAAUACAGUGUAAGAUGCCAAAAGGAGUUAAGAUCUUAUGAGAGCUGUCUAAGAAUUAUAUAUGUUGGAAAAACUUUUCUUGAACAAGAAGUGGGGGGAUACACCAUAGAGGCCAGAGUACUGAUUACAUGCCAGGCUCUGAAACCAGCAGGACAGCACUUCAAAGGCUGGCUCUGUGACCUUGGGUAAGUUGUCAGCAUCUCUGGGCUUUAGGCUCCUUAUCACCAGAACCAAAAUAAAAACCUCCCAGGAUUUGGGGGAAGAUUAAACAAGACAUGUAAAGACCUUGGCACCGCUCCUGGCCUGUAUUAAGCAGUUAAUAAAUAUGAGCUAAACAGCUUGGGCAAUUUUUAGUGUCUUUCUCUGACCCAAUAAAUAUCCUGCUACAGAAGGCAUAGAGAAGGAUGUACUUCAGGAGGCAUUUUCCUACAGAAAAUGGCAAAGAUCAAGAAACUCUUUGGUUCUCUUUAUAAAAUAGCACUGCAGGCUUUCCUAGGACAUAUGAUAUGGACUCAUUCUGCCUGUAUUUAAAAAUUGAUAUAUUACCUAUGCCUAGCACACCUCUGUGAACUUUCUAAAUAAAAUCUUACUAGGAUGAUUCCCAUUUUGCAUGUGGAUCACUGAAGGUAAUGUGAUGUAAAGGACCCAAAUUAGCCAGAGGAUAAACAGGCACACAGGAAUCCUGUGCCAGGCCUUAAGGUGACAAUGAUUGUUCAAUAAUUACCAGAGGGAAAAAUCUUGGAUAUACUGCUUCAAAGAGCAGCUGCAGCUACUAGAUAUGGUAUUUUUCAGGCCUGGGAUUAUAGCUCCUUAGUAAAUUAAAAAAAAGGAUAUUUUUUUCAAAACAUCACUUUCAGCUUUCAUUGGAAAUCAGACCUCUACAGGAGUAUAGGAGGGUGAAUACAAGAAAUACAGAAGUGAAAGACUCCUUUGACUUAAUGUUUUCUAGGGAAGUUGUUAUUUUGGACACACAUAUUUCCCUCGCCCACUUUUUGUUUGCAAAAGUAUCUACCUUUUGCAGACAUGGCUCUGUUGCCCUGUGUUGUAGUUCCUUACCAAUCCGUACCUACCAAGAAUAAUUUAUGUGCCCCAUUUAGAUGGUUGGAUGGGAAGGCUGGGAGGGAUGGUGUCUUUUGUUAGAUAUGGCAUCGUUCAUUUAUUUACUUCUGUUUUUUUUCAUCAAUCAAUUAAAUUAAGUGAUUGGUUAUCAGACAUCCUGAUGGACAGGCACAGGGGUUAUAAAAUCUUCCGCCGCUUUUUAAUUUUUUUUAUUUUUAGGCCUGCACCCGUGGCAUAUGGAAGUUCCCAGGCCAGGGGUUGGGUUAGAACUGUAGCUGCUGGCCUACACCACAGCCACAGCAAUGCCAGAUCUUUAACCCACGAGCGAGUCCAGGGAUUGAAUCCACAUCCUCAUGGAUCCUAGUCGGGUUCCUUGACCACUGAGCCAUGAAGGGAACUCCUAUAAAAUCAUUCUUGACCUCCUAAUGCUUAUGAUCUUGUCGGGGGAGAGAUGCUUUUUAUACAUUAUCUGUAAUCUUUGCCUUGACCUGGUGAGGAAGGCAUAAUUCUCACUUUAUAGCUGAAGAAACUAAUGUCAGGGAUUUGCUCAAGGUGCAGUCUCUUUGACUUUAAAGCCCACCCUUUCCACUGCUGCUGCAUACUGCUUGUGAGCAGGUCCAGAGAUGGAGAGCUGGAAAUGUGUGCAGGCCUGGAAAGUUUGAAGGCAUUGUCCUUUGACAGUGAGAACCAGUUAAUACUACCACCAUUGAUGAUGAUCAUGAUAUCAUCUCACUUUUAUUGCACACCUGCUAUGUAUUGGAUAUUAUACUAGGCAUCUUACAUAACUAAUUUCAUUCAAUCUCUGUUCAGUCCCUCUGAUGAUACAAUGACUACUGCCAUUUCAAGAAUGAGAAACUGAGGCUCAGAGAGAUUAAGAAACUUGCCAAAGUCACACAGCUAGUGGCUUCAACAGCUUUUACGGUAUUCCAGAGCCAAGAGGAAGAAGGUUUUAAAUCCGCUCUCUUGGUUAUUGUGUCUCAUGGUUACUGAGGAAGAGAAUGCAUACUACCUCUUUUAUUUAUUAUAUUUUAUUUUUUGUCUUUUUAGGGCCACACUUGUGGCAUAUGGGAGUUUCCAAAUCGGAGCUGCAGCUGCCAGCCUACACCACAGCCACUGGCCUACACCACAGCCACUGGCCUACACCGCAGCCACAGCAACACAGGAUCUGAGCUGCAUCUGUGACCUACACCACAGCUCAUGGCAUUGCUGCUUAACCCACUGAUUCAGGCCAGGGAUUUAAUCUGCAUCCCCAUGGAUACUAGUUGGAUUCGUUAUAGCUGAGCCACGAUGGGAACUCCCAUGCUAGUUCUUUUAAAAGCCAUUUAGUCACAAGGGUGGAGGGAGGUUGGCAAUAAAGAAAAGACUAGAGUGAUAGAUACAUCUAAAAAGCAGUGGCCUGCUCUGGGGCUGGGAGAAGGCUGGGUAGGGCUGAAGCUGAGUGUGUGUGUCGGGGAGGUGGGGGUGGUGGGGGAGGAUGGAGAGGGUGCCCAGCCCUCCUAUGGAGACAGUCAGGAGACAGCAUCUUAUUCUCACUGUAUCCUUUAGUGUCAGCCCAGCACCCAACACAGCUGAUGCUCAGUGUGGGAAGAAAGCAAGGAGCUUCUCUGCUCUAUGGCAUACCUGAGGUCCAGGUUCGGGAGAAGGUCGGUCUCCAGUACUGACAAUGGAGAAAGAUUGUUCACCUUGAUAGGGGUGGGUGCAUUGGCUCACGUAUUGAAGAGAUGUUUAAUUAAAUACAAAUGGAAAGCACAGGAGGGAUGCACCUCCCUCCUGCCCUUAUCUCCCUAGAGAUGCCACUGUUGGCAUCCAGAGGUGCUCUGUGCCUUCACAGGCAUUGGAGUAUGUAUUCAUUUUUUUUUUAAACAUAAAUGCUGAGACCGGUUUGAAGUAUUUAUACAAGGUUCUUAUCUGUAUCUUGAUAAAAGACAUUUUGCAUAAAAUUUUAACAUUUCUGAUUGCAGUGAUUGCAUUUUCUAGAAGCUGAGGAAUUACUCAUUUUGCACCUACAGACUUAAAGCUCAGUGAAGCAUCUCUAGGUGAAAGGAAUACAAGAACUUCAAAUAGCCUUUUCUUCAAUGAAUAAAUAAAAUAUAUUUGGAAAGCUGUCUUAAGGCUUUUUGCGGCCCAGUCCUUAGGAAAUGAUUUGGAAGGAGCUAUUGUGUUCAAUCGUGUUAAUCUCUUGGGUCCUUGUAUAGAAUUUUGACUUUUCACAUGUUUUCAGCUAUUACUUUUUCUUGAAGCUAAGGUAUUAUACUUGGAGAAGCAUGAAAAAUAAUCUUACAGUUAAGUAUUAAGCUAUUCUUCUGUCUAUUGUGUCUCUUUAUUGCAUUGACUGUGGGUACAGGAAAUCACCUGUGGUGAGAACAGCCACAAUACCAUUGCCUAGGUACCAUCAGGGAAGGUGUUUUAAAAGAAAUCUAAUUUUAGCCUUCAUCUUGAGUUUUGGGGCAGUUUUUGUCCCUUGUGCUUCUGAAACUGUAAUUAUCAACAACAUAUCUUUGAGAGCAGGGGAAAAAAAGCACUUUUGUUUGUAUAACAAAAACAGUAAAAUUUCCAUGUAAUUUUAAAAAACGCACUACCGCUUGCUGAUUUAUUGAUGAGUAGGGCUUCCACAGAGGAAGUAUCCCCUUUUCUUUCUGGACCCCUCUCCUGAUUAUAAGCACGUGCCUCUGGGUAUUGUGUUCACAGAGAACACAGGAAGAGGUCUCUGGGUCUCCCUGUACUGGAGAACGCAGCCCUGGUAGGGCAGUGGGAACUGAGCUACACUCUGUUGAUACUAUGGACCUGCCUGUUGUAGUGUCAUGUUUGCGACCAUGCUCUAUGAUGGUAUUUUUAUUCCUUUCCCUAGAUAUGGGGAAAAGGGACUAAGGGGGAUUAAAUAACUUUGCCAAGUUCCCAGCACCUUUAUUCAAAAUGGGAUUUUAGGAGUUCCCAUUGUGGCUCAGUGCUAAUGAACUUGACUAGUACACAGAUUCGAUCCCAGACCCUGCUCAGUGGGUUAAGGAUCCAGUGUUGCCAUGAGCUGUGGUGUAGGUCACAGAUGAGACUUGGCUCUAGCGUUGCUGUGGCUGUGGUGUAGGCCGGCAGCUGUAGCUCCAAUUCAACUCCUAGCCUGGGAACUUCCAUAUGCUGCUGGUGCGGGCCCUAAAAUAAAAUUCAAAAAAAA